CUUGCCAGGAUGACAGAGAAGGAGGAUGGUGGCGGUAACUUACCAGGAUGACAGAGAAGGAGGAAGGUGGCGGUAACUUACCAGGAUGUCAGAGGAGGAUGGUUGCGGUGACAUACCGCGGUGACAGAGAAGGAGGAUGAUGGUGGUGACUUACCGCGUAGACAGAGAAAGAGGAUGGUUGCGGUGACUUACCAGGAUGAUAGAGAAGGAGGAAGGUGGCGAUGACUUACCAGGAUGACCGAGAAGGAGGAAGGUGGCGGUGACCUAUCAUGGAGACAGAGAAGGAGGAAGGUGGCGGUGACCUAUCAUGGAGACAGAGAAGGAGGAAGGUGGUGGUGACUUACCGCGAUGACAGAGAAAGAGGAAGGUGGCGGUGACUUACCAGGAUGACCGAGAAGGAGGAAGGUGACGGUUACCUAUCAUGGAGACAGAGAAGGAGGAAGGUGGCGGUGACUUACCAGGAUG